rnacentral:rRNA from 1 species
AUUGAACGCUGGCGGCAGGCUUAACACAUGCAAGUCGAGCGGGGUGAUGGUGCUUGCACUAUCACUUAGCGGCGGACGGGUGAGUAAUGCUUAGGAAUCUGCCUAUUAGUGGGGGACAACAUCUCGAAAGGGAUGCUAAUACCGCAUACGUCCUACGGGAGAAAGCAGGGGAUCACUUGUGACCUUGCGCUAAUAGAUGAGCCUAAGUCGGAUUAGCUAGUUGGGGGGGUAAAGGCCUACCAAGGCGACGAUCUGUAGCGGGUCUGAGAGGAUGAUCCGCCACACUGGGACUGAGACACGGACCAGACUCCGACGGGAGGCAGCAGUGGGGAAGAUUGGACAAUGGGGGGAACCCUGAUCCAGCCAUGCCGCGUGUGUGAAGAAGGCCUUAUGGUUGUAAAGCACUUUAAGCGAGGAGGAGGCUCUUUUGGUUAAUACCCAAGAUGAGUGGACGUUACUCGCAGAAUAAGCACCGGCUAACUCUGUGCCAGCCGCCGCCGUAA